rnacentral:sRNA from 1 species
AUCUAGCCCCGAUGGGAGUGAUAUCCUUUUGUGCCGGGGUUCGGCACAAAAGAUAUAACGGACAGCGGGACAAGUC